UGCAUGGUGGUACAGUUGGUAGCACUGUGGCCUUGCAGCAAGAAGGUUCGACUGGGUUCAACUCCCGGCCAGGGGUCUUUCUGCAU